rnacentral:rRNA from 1 species
AGGACGAACGCUGGCGGCGUGCUUAACACAUGCAAGUCGAGCGGAAAGGCCCUUCGGGGUACUCGAGCGGCGAACGGGUGAGUAACACGUGAGUAACCUGCCCUAGGCUUUGGGAUAACCCUCGGAAACGGGGGCUAAUACUGGAUAUUCCGCGGGAUCGCAUGGUUUGUGGGGAAAGGUUUUCCGGCUUGGGAUGGGCUCGCGGCCUAUCAGCUUGUUGGUGGGUGAUGGCCUACCAAGGCGACGACGGGUAG